GGGUGGUACUGCGCUCACGGGCUUUGGACCGGUCUUCGCGGUCGGUAGUCUUAAUUGAUUGCCGCCCGUGGCUGGUUGGUUUACUUUGAGCAAAUCAGAGUGCUCAGCACAGGCGUCUUGCCGGAAUGUUCGUGCAUGGAAUAAUAGAAAAGGAUUUCGGUCCUCUUUUGUUGGUUUUGUGGACUGAGAUAAUGGUUAACAGAGACGACCGGGGGCAUUCGUAUUGCUGCGUGAGAGGUGAAAUUCUUGGACCGCAGCAGGACGAACUACAGCGAAAGCAUUUGCCAAGUGCGUCUUCAUUAAUCAAGAACGAAAGUCAGAGGUUCGAAGGCGAUCAGAUACCGCCCUAGUUCUGACCGUAAACGAUGCCAACUAGCGAUCCGCUGGUGGCCCUUAGGCCCUAGUGGGGAGCUUCCCGGAAACGAAAGUCUUCCGGUUCCGGGGGAAGUAUGGUUGCAAAGCUGAAACUUAAAGGAAUUGACGGAAGGGCACCACCAGGAGUGGAGCCUGCGGCUUAAUUUGACUCAACACGGGAAAACUCACCCGGCCCGGACACCGUGAGGAUUGACAGAUUGAUAGCUCUUUCAUGAUUCGGUGGUUGGUGGUGCAUGGCCGUUCUUAGUUCGUGGAUCGAUUUGUCUGGUUUAUUCCGAUAACGAGCGAGACUCUAGCCUACUAACUAGUGCGGGCAUUGCCGCUGUGCCUCGCCGCACUUCUUAGAGGGAUUGGCUG
rnacentral:rRNA from 1 species